GGCCUCGUAGCUCAUUGGCUAGAGCGUUGGCUAUACUACAUCCUUCCCUUUGCUGAAGUGUGUUCGAAUCCCACAGAGGCCA
rnacentral:tRNA from 1 species